rnacentral:rRNA from 1 species
CCUACGGGUGGCUGCAGUGGGGAAUUUUGGACAAUGGGCGCAAGCCUGAUCCAGCCAUUCCGCGUGAGUGAAGAAGGCCUUCGGGUUGUAAAGCUCUUUCGCAAGGGAAGAAAACUUAUCCUCUAACAUAGGAUGAGGUUGACGGUACCUUGAUAAGAAGCACCGGCUAACUACGUGCCAGCAGCCGCGGUAAUACGUCGGGUGCGAGCGUUGUUCGGAAUUACUGGGCGUAAAUGGUACGCAGACGGUUAAGCCCCGAGCUCAACGUGGGAACUGCGUUUGAAACUACAAGACUAGAAUAGGUCAGAGGGGGGUAGAAUUCCACGUGUAGCAGUGAAAUGCGUAGAGAUGUGGAGGAAUAUCAAUGGCGAAGGCAGCCCCCUGGGAUCAUAUUGACGCUCAUGCACGAAAGCGUGGGGAGCAAACAGGAUUAGAUACCCGUGUAGUC